AGCUCCAGUAGCGUAUAUUAAUGUUGUUGCAGUUAAAAAGCUCGUAGUUGGAUUUCUGACUUGAUGGGUUGACCCGUUUUCAAAUGAGAAUGUGUGUCGUGCUACGUCAGUCAUCUUUCCAGGGAACUGCUCUACUCUUCAUUGAGCCGGAGUCGCGAUCUGGAACUUUUACUUUGAAAAAAUUAGAGUGUUCAAAGCAGGCUUGUGCGUAUGAAUACAUUAGCAUGGAAUAAUAACUUAGGACUUUGGUUCUAUUUUGUUGGUUCUAGGACUAAAGUAAUGAUUGAUAGGGAUAGUUGGGGGUGCUAGUAUUCAGCGGCCAGAGGUGAAAUUCUUGGAUUCGCUGAAGACUAACUUAUGCGAAAGCAUUCACCAAGGAUGUCUUCUUUA
rnacentral:rRNA from 1 species